GGUAUGAUGUUUGGAAUGGUAACAGCCUUCACUGGAAAUGAAGUGGUCCGCAAGGGCGUGGGAGUUCGAGUCUCCCUCAUACCGC
rnacentral:tRNA from 1 species